GAUGAACGCUAGCUACAGGCUUAACACAUGCAAGUCGAGGGGAAACGACAUCGAAAGCUUGCUUUUGAUGGGCGUCGACCGGCGCACGGGUGAGUAACGCGUAUCCAACCUGCCCACCACUUGGGGAUAACCUUGCGAAAGUAAGACUAAUACCCAAUGAUAUCCCACGAAGGCAUCCGAAUGGGAUUAAAGAUUUAUCGGUGAUGGAUGGGGAUGCGUCUGAUUAGCUUGUUGGCGGGGUAACGGCCCACCAAGGCUACGAUCAGUAGGGGUUCUGAGAGGAAGGUCCCCCACAUUGGAACUGAGACACGGUCCAAACUCCUACGGGAGGCAGCAGUGAGGAAUAUUGGUCAAUGGGCGAGAGCCUGAACCAGCCAAGUAGCGUGCAGGAUGACGGCCCCUAUGGGUUGUAAACUGCUUUUAUAAGGGAAUAAAGUGGGUCUCGUGAGACUUUUUGCAUGUACCUUANGAAUAAGGACCGGCUAAGUUCCGUG
rnacentral:rRNA from 1 species